rnacentral:rRNA from 1 species
GUGGAAGGAAUUUUGCGCGAAUGGGGGGAAACCCUGACGCAGCAACGCCGCGUGGGUGAAGAAGGCUUUCGGGUCGUAAAGCCCUGUCAGGUGGGAAGAACCGUUUCGAUACUAAUAAUGUCGAAGCCUGACG